CUUCAGCAGACCGUGCAAGUCGCUCUCGAACACAAACUGCGCCAUGGCGGGGGAGAGCGGCCUGGGCGGGGAGAAAGAGGGCGACAGCUUCGGAAUGGUUUCUGUCCCCAUGGAUGGUGGCAUACAAGCUCAAGGGAGACUCCAAAGAACAUAAAUGAGAAAUCCUGGCACAAUGGUCCCAGACAGCCCAAGGCAAGGUCGGAGAAACGGCCUUCAAUAGCGCAGCAGCAGCAAUUCAUGUCAGUUUGCCUGAGAGAAUGAGACCGCAGCCCUCAGGCACUAGCUUUGUACAAGUAAUACAUGGUAAUAAAAUAGAAAAGGACAGACA